AUGCUAUUACUCUUUCCCUUUAAAACAAGAAAAUAUAGGCAAUCUCUGACCUUUUUAAUAUUUAGAAUUUUUAGAUCUUUAAUUUUUGCUCCCAAUCGUAGUUUUAUAUUCUCUUAAAUCCUAAAUUCCCAUUUCCGUUGCUAUUUUAAGGAAAUGGAAAAUUAUGGUUUGGACAACCACAUAUCAAGAAGAGGCUUCAAAGUUCGUCCAUGUCUACGGUGACCCGAUUGGCAGAACUUGCGGCGGUCACCCUUGAUAGAUCGUAACUGAUGUGCUUUAACUCCACUUAAAUGCUGGUUCAACCGUUAAUAAAAUAAAGAUGAGAAAUUCAAGUACAUACAAAUCGUUUAAAGAACUAUUUUUUUUCUUUUUCCUUUUUUUUUUUUUUUUUUUUUUUUUUUAAUUUCCUUUGAUGUCUUGUUAUUCCAUUUUAUUCUACAUUAAUUAUAUAAGUUUCUUGUAGCUAGUGCGACAUCAAAUUUAUGUAUUCUGUAUUUUUUUUUUUCUAUUUAUACAUUAGAUUUUGAGUA